rnacentral:tRNA from 1 species
GGAGCGGUAGUUCAGUUGGUUAGAAUACCGGCCUGUCACGCCGGGGGGGCGCGGGUUCGAGUCCCGUCCGCUCCGCCA